rnacentral:lncRNA from 1 species
GGAGUUCCAUCUAUAUGUACCACUUUGAUGGUGUUCCAAAAAGAAAAAAAGUGUUCCCAAAAAAAAAAUGUACCACUUUGAUGAAUGAUUCAGAACGUGGUAAUAAUAAUGACAAAAACAUGAUGAAAAAUUUACUCUGAGAGACACUUUCUCAUUUUACAAUUAUACCAAUAGACACAAUACACUUGAGACACACUUUUCUAUUGCUGAAUGACCUUAUCACCCUUAGACUAGAAUAUACUUCACUUUUUCGUUCAUCUUCUCCUCUAACUCCCGACAUAUUCAUCCUCUCUCCUAACUAAAUUAAACUUUCCCAAAUGUUCAAACCCUAAACAAAAUCAAGAAAGGAUUGAUGGGUAUGAUGAGACCAAAGCUUAUAAUGAAAUCAAUUUGUUCAUGUAGUUAUGGCUAAAUUAAAAGAGAGCAAAAAUUCAGAAAAGCCCAGAAAACAGAGAGCGAGACAACUCCAUAGAAUGAUAAUUACCCGAUCUACUUCAUCUCCCUCAACAUCGUCGUGAAUGAUUCCGGCUAGAAAAUUGUCGGAGAAGACAAGAGAGUCGGCGAAAGACAAAACGAGUCAGCUCCUCCUCCUCGCACGCCAAUAAGCCACACCAUCUUGUGAAAGUGCGGGGAUUCGAGCUCGGUGAAGCUGCGGUAGUUGAUCUCGUCAUGGAUGAGCUUUCCAUGCUCCGAUGCUGUGGUUCGAGCUCCUCGUCGUGCUUAGCUGCGGUGGUUUGAGCUCUUCGUCGUGCUUAGACUCCACCACUAGAUCUGCCGUCCAAGUCGCCUCCUCGCCAUCCUCGCCAUCCUCGAUCAUCUCAGCGAAGUCUCGUUCAUCAUCUCAGUGAAACUGCAGUGGUUGGAUCUCGGAGUCGCCAUUGAAGAAAGCUCGAUUGCAUCUGCAAUCAAGAAUCAUGCAUUUGCACAUUUGGUCCUUGUAUUUAUGUAAGUAUUUGAGUUUGUCCCCAAACUUUUCAAAUUUUCAGAUUUCUCUUUGAAUUAGUCCAAAACUUUAUAAUUAUACACUCUAGCCUUCUUUUGUGUUUCUCACGUACAAAAAAUGCAAAAUUAAUGUAUUUCUUGUCCAUAUGUUUUAUGUAUUGUAUAAUUUUAAAGUUUUAAUAUUAAAGAUCUACCAAUCUUUAACUAAUUAAAUAAUUUAUGAAGUUUUGAUAUUGUACGAAUUUGUUUUAAUUAAUUAAAUUAAUUAAAUAAUUGUUUUGUGGAAUGUGUACGAAGAAAAUGUGGAUAUGAAUUUUGUUGAUUCAGGAAAUGUGGAUGAAAGAGUUGUGUACAGUAUCAAAUUGAAAAUAUAUCAAAAUUUAUAAUAUAAUAUAUGUACAAAAAAAAAUUUAAAUUUUUUUUGUAUCAAUAUACAUAUUCUUUAUACUUUAAUAUAUUAUUAAUCAUUGUAAAUUAUAAUUUAUUGGUCUUGUGUUUUGUGGACACCGAAAAUGUGGAUAAAUAUUUUGCCGUUCAAAAAUAUGUGGAUGUGAGAAUUGUGUACAUUGUAAUUGUGUCGAAUCUUACAUUUUUAACGUCCACACUUCUAUCUUUUAUGUCUAUGCCUACUUUCACAAAUAGCCAUCCCACAAACAUCUAUGGACAGUCAUACAAACAUGUUCAUAUAUUUUUCUUUUGCACCUUUUCCAUCAGUGUUCAAAUUUUUUACAUCCACAUUGUAUGGUGCAUGUCCACAUAUUUUUAUAUAAAUAUUCAAAUAUUAAAAAAUAUAUCAAAAGUGGAUGUUGUAAUAUAAAGAAAAAAGUUUAUAAUUUAAUGUAAUAAAUAUAAAAAAUUAUAUAUUAACCCACAAACUUAAAUGUCUUGUAGGAUUGAUAAAAGAAAUAUGUCUCAAAAAAACUCAUUUAAAGCACAACAAAGUACAACAGAUUAGAUUCCCG